rnacentral:rRNA from 1 species
AGAAUGACUCUCGGCAACGGAUAUCUCGGCCCUCGCAUCGAUGAAGAACGUAGCGAAAUGCGAUACGUGGUGUGAAUUGCAGAAUCCCGCGAACCAUUGAGUUUUUGAACGCAAGUUGCGCCCGAGGCCUUGCCGCCGAGGGCACGCCUGCCUGGGCGUCACGC